rnacentral:rRNA from 1 species
AUUGAACGCUGGCGGCAUGCUUUACACAUGCAAGUCGAACGAGUGGCGCACGGGUGAGUAAUACAUCGGAACGUGUCCUAUCGUAGGGGAUAACUGAUCGAAAGAUCAGCUAAUACCGCAUACGAUUGGAUCGGCCGAUGCGCGAUUAGCUAGUUGGUGAGGUAAAGGCUAACCAAGGCGACUAUCGGUAGCUGGUCUGAGAGGACGACCAGCCACACUGGGACUGAGACACGGCCCAGACUCCUACGUGAGGCAGCAGUGGGGAAUUUUGGACAAUGGGGGCAACCCUGAUCCAGCCAUGCCGCGUGCAGGAUGAAGGUCUUCGGAUUGUAAACUGUUUUGGUCAGGGAAGCGGUACCUGAAGAAUAAGCACCGGCUAACUACGUGCCAGCAGCCGCGGUAAUAC